rnacentral:rRNA from 1 species
GAACGGGUGAGUAACACGUGAGCAACCUGCCCUGAACUCUGGGAUAAGCGCUGGAAACGGCGUCUAAUACUGGAUAUGAGCUGCGGAGGCAUCUUCGUGGUUGGAAAGAUUUUUCGGUUUGGGAUGGGCUCGCGGCCUAUCAGCUUGUUGGUGAGUAAUGGCUCACCAAGGCGUCGACGGGUAGCCGGCCUGAGAGGGUGACCGGCCACACUGGGACUGAGACACGGCCCAGACUCCUACGGGAGGCAGCAGUGGGGAAUAUUGCACAAUGGGCGGAAGCCUGAUGCAGCAACGCCGCGUGAGGGAUGACGGCCUUCGGGUUGUAAACCUCUUUUAGCAGGGAAGAAGCGAAAGUGACGGUACCUGCAGAAAAAGCGCCGGCUAACUACGUGCCAGCAGCCGCGGUAAUACGUAGGGCGCAAGCGUUAUCCGGAAUUAUUGGGCGUAAAGAGCUCGUAGGCGGUUUGUCGCGUCUGCUGUGAAAACCCGAGGCUCAACCUCGGGCCUGCAGUGGGUACGGGCAGACUAGAGUGCGGUAGGGGAGAUUGGAAUUCCUGGUGUAGCGGUGGAAUGCGCAGAUAUCAGGAGGAACACCGAUGGCGAAGGCAGAUCUCUGGGCCGUAACUGACGCUGAGGAGCGAAAGGGUGGGGAGCAAACAGGCUUAGAUACCCUGGUAGUCCACCCCGUAAACGUUGGGAACUAGUUGUGGGGUCCAUUCCACGGAUUCCGUGACGCAGCUAACGCAUUAAGUUCCCCGCCUGGGGAGUACGGGCCGCAAGGCUAAAACUCAAAGGAAUUGACGGGGACCCGCACAAGCGGCGGAGCAUGCGGAUUAAUUCGAUGCAACGCGAAGAACCUUACCAAGGCUUGACAUACACGAGAACGCUGCAGAAAUGUAGAACUCUUUGGACACUCGUGAACAGGUGGUGCAUGGUUGUCGUCAGCUCGUGUCGUGAGAUGUUGGGUUAAGUCCCGCAACGAGCGCAACCCUCGUUCUAUGUUGCCAGCACGUAAUGGUGGGAACUCAUGGGAUACUGCCGGGGUCAACUCGGAGGAAGGUGGGGAUGACGUCAAAUCAUCAUGCCCCUUAUGUCUUGGGCUUCACGCAUGCUACAAUGGCCGGUACAAAGGGCUGCAAUACCGCGAGGUGGAGCGAAUCCCAAAAAGCCGGUCCCAGUUCGGAUUGAGGUCUGCAACUCGACCUCAUGAAGUCGGAGUCGCUAGUAAUCGCAG